rnacentral:rRNA from 1 species
GAUGAACGCUGGCGGCGUGCUUAACACAUGCAAGUCGAACGGGAAAUAUUUCAUUGAGACUUCGGUGGAUUUGAUUUAUUUCUAGUGGCGGACGGGUGAGUAACGCGUGGGUAACCUGCCUUAUACAGGGGGAUAACAGUCAGAAAUGGCUGCUAAUACCGCAUAAGCGCACAGAGCUGCAUGGCUCAGUGUGAAAAACUCCGGUGGUAUAAGAUGGACCCGCGUUGGAUUAGCUAGUUGGUGGGGUAACGGCCCACCAAGGCGACGAUCCAUAGCCGGCCUGAGAGGGUGAACGGCCACAUUGGGACUGAGACACGGCCCAGACUCCUACGGGAGGCAGCAGUGGGGAAUAUUGCACAAUGGGGGAAACCCUGAUGCAGCGACGCCGCGUGAAGGAAGAAGUAUCUCGGUAUGUAAACUUCUAUCAGCAGGGAAGAUAGUGACGGUACCUGACUAAGAAGCCCCGGCUAACUACGU